AAUGAUGCUGAAGCGGAAACACGUUUUUUCAAGUUCCUGUAUUUUUAUGUGGAGUUGCUCACUGCCCAACGUAGAGGACUAGGAAUCAGGAGUCGGUGGCCGUAUGCUGGAGGCUGGAGCCGCGGGAGCGCGGCUCGCCUCGCUGCGGUUGUUGGCAGUGACGGAGAGAGAGCAGCGCGGCUGGAGCAGGUGAAGCUGGACUGAAUAUUUCUGUCCAUAAGACUAUUAGAAUCCCCCAAAGUGGGAUACCAGUGAGGACCUCACCAGCAGCUGCUGUCUCUCCAAUGCAGCUCCACAGGGCCUGUGAGCAGGGCUGGCUAUGAGAUCCUGCCCUGAAGAGCAGUACUGGGCUGCUCUGCUAGGCACCUGCAUGUCCUGCAAAGCCAUCUGCAACCAUCAGAGCCAGCGCACCUGUGCAGCCUCCUGCGGUGAUCUCAGGGCCUGUCCCUCUCCAUGGGGCCUCUCCACCUGGACGACUUGA
ensembl:lncRNA CCDC144NL-AS1 CCDC144NL antisense RNA 1